UGAAUUAUUGAUUUGGUGAUC
rnacentral:piRNA from 1 species